CUUGGGCCCGCGGGCUGCUUGGAGAGAGUCCGUUCUAGCGCGUCUCAAACUCUUAUUAAUCGCCCGGUGUCUGCGCUAGGAUGGAUCAACGGGAAACGGGUAAUUCCAACACAAUCCGGAGACAGGAAUGCCCCCAGAAGCAAAGGGACAAAGAGGGGCGGCCUAAAUCAGGGUGGUGCGCUCGUCAGUGUUUAACACCCGGCCUCUGAUUUGCAAGUUUAUUGGCAGACCAGUGUAUCUAACAUGGCUGGACGUGUUACUGGAACAUCCAGGUGGAGAUGCCCAGCGGGCAGUUGGACAUGAGGAAGCCUCAAGCUCAUACCUCCAGGCUGGAGAUUGAUGAGGAGUCUUCAGCAGUUUACACAAGAUGAGGCUCUGAACGUGGAUACUGACACGCGAGUGACUGAAAGCACAGGCAGAAGAGGGGCCUGUGGGGCCUGGAAAGGAGCCAUCCCAGAGACAGGGGAACCAGGAGAGGGCCGUGGAGACCAAGAGCCUGUGGACUUGUUCCCUCCAACACCUGCAGGGAGGCUGCUGGCCUGGAUACAGGUUUCUAGACAAGGGAAAGGGCAAAUCACCUCACUCUCAGGACCUUUUCAUCAGCUGUAACAUAAAAGGACCUACAGGCAAGAGGAGGGGAGAGAGGCUGGAGGACUGAGUCCGUGCAGCCCUCCCUGCCCCCUCCACUCCCUGCCCCUCAACCGCAGCAGCUCUGCCUUCCUGUUGCCAUGUUCCCUUUCACCUCACAUUGGAAAAGUAGCCAGAGCAUAAACUACUAAACUAAAUGGAUCUCUGAAGCCCACCUAAAAAUCUGGUAUUGCCACCAUGUCCCCCAGCUUUAAUGACCAUCUCCAGGCUGGCAGUGGUCAGAUUUCUGUUUUCAGUCGAGAGGAGUACUCCAGCAUCUCCAGCUGCCUGUAAGCCGUCUCUAUUUACAUGUCUUGACAUCAGGUCAAACUCAACUGUCUGAAACUAAAUUUAUCGUCCCUAAAAGAGCUCCUCUGCCUAGCUUCCCUCUUUUACUCAUAGGCACCCCAUUUAUGCCAGUUUCCAAUUCUCCUUGCUCCCCAGCUCCUCCCUCUCCAAAUCUGUCACCUCUAUGUCUUUCAAGUCUUUUAUCCCCCUCCUCUGCCUAGGGACAGGGCCCUUCCACUCUCCUGAAGUACCCCUCGAUUGCUGCCUCUCUUUUUCUCCCCAUGCCCACCGUCCAUGACAAGGCCUGCCUUAUUUGGGUGAAACUGCCAUAGGCAACUCUUAACUGGCCUCUCCAUCAGCAGCUUAUCCUCCAAGCACUCCGCCUGAGUGUUAGGGGAGUUAGUCUGGGGGACAGGAGUUCAAGUUUGGGAGUGAGGUAGAUACACAAACGACUAUGUGGGGAUCAGAAUUGGCCACCCCAAAAUGUGUCUCUGUGGCUUAUUUUUAAGGACAAAAGACUGAAACUGUGACCUUCCCUCUUACUGCCUAAAAGAUUUUAAGGUAAAAGGCUUGAGCUCUCUCGCGUCACUUUCCCCAACAUCCUCCUAUGUCUUUAGCUUAAGAUGGUAUUUAAGGUGGUGGCUUCAGCCAUUUUGGCAAGUUACUCAGUUUUCCUGGGUUUCCCCCAUGUAUACACGUUAUUAAAUUUUGUUUGAUUUUCUCCUGUUAUUCUGUCUCAUGUCAAUUUAAUUCUUAGACCAGCCAGAAGGACCUAGAGGGGAGAGGAAUUGUCUUUCUCCCCUACAACUAAUAGUAGUCAGAGAUGAGGGGUUGAAAAUCAGGAGGAAGAACUGGAAUCGUCUGCACGAGAAUAAGAGCAGAAACUCUUUAACAGUGGAUGAGAUCCUACAAGGAGAAUGCGUGACACUGCAAAAGACAAAGGAGCAGACUUGAGAAUUACCGUAUUGGGUUUAGAGCCUUGCAUACAGAGGGAGUCCCAGGGGAUAUGCACGUGCAUGUGUGUGAAAACACACACCACACACAUAGAUACAUAUAAUUGUUUCCAAAUUUCUGAUGAAGUUGUCUACAAAUCAGAAGAACUGAGUUCGAAACUUUGCCCCAUCACCUAAGGCCAUGUGACUUUGGGCAAAUUUAUUUAACAUAAGGAUAGCAAUGUAAUAUAGCUACAUGGGCUAGAAAGGUCUGUGGAGUGAAGCUGGCAACUCAAAGAGAAAAAAGUACAGUGAAUUGAAACAGGCCCCUGGCUCUGGCCUCCUGUUUCCAGGCCAGCAUCCAGCAAAGAAGUCAGGUGUAGCGUAGCACCUAUGACCAUGCACUCUGGAAUUAGAUUGUUCUUAAAUCCUGGCUCUACCACUGAUUUGCUGUAUGAUCUUAUUCUCUCCAUGCCUUUAUUUCUCCAUCUGUAAUAUGGAGAUAAUAGCACACAUAUAACAUUGUUGGGAGAAUCACAAAACAUUAUAAGUGCUUGGAAGCUACUUGGCACUGAG
ensembl:lncRNA